UACGGGGGGGGCAAGCGUUGUUCGGAAUUACUGGGCGUAAAGGGCUCGUAGGUGGCCAACUAAGUCAGACGUGAAAUCCCUCGGCUUAACCGGGGAACUGCGUCUGAUACUGGAUGGCUGGAGUUUGGGAGAGGGAUGCGGAAUUCCAGGUGUAGCGGUGAAAUGCGUAGAUAUAGGAAGGAACACCAGUGGCGAAGGCGACCACCUGGACUGAUACUGACACUGAGGUGCGAAAGCGUGGGGAGCAAACAGG
rnacentral:rRNA from 1 species